rnacentral:lncRNA from 1 species
AAUUAUCCACUCACUCCAUUUAUUUAUUAUAUAUAUAAUAAGAUAAUAGUUAACAUAAAGACACAUGACCUUUUAUACUCAUUCCAUAUGAUAUGAGUAUUUAUUUAGGUAUUUAUUAAGUGAAAGAGUCAUGCAUUAUUAAGGAGUGGAGAAAUAGAAAUGACCAAGCUUGACUAUAUCGUCAAUGUUACUAAACUAAAUAUCCCCAGAAUUGAUGUUAAAACUACACCACCCACACCCUGAAUGAUGUUUCCAACAAGCAUGAGGGGAGCUUGAAGAAUUCCUGAGGUGGGCAACAAAGUACAAUUAACAAUUGGGAGAGCAACCCUUGCAACACAUGAAAGAGUUGACGUAUUUCCAAACAAAAUAUUUGUAUUGGUGCUCAAUGUAACAUUUAUUAAACCUUCAACAUUUGUGAUCACUUGAGCAAGGGUUGUGUUGCCACAAAUAAUGGCCACUAUUCCACCAAUGGGUGGUACUAUCCCAAUUUAUAAUUACUUUCAUGAGUAUUAAUUUUGAGAAUAUAUAUAUUCUCCCAAUUCUUAUAGAAAGUGGUUUACUUUUACGAUGGCACAGAUGAAAUCUGUCAAAUGUGUUCCUAUAUAUAAUUUUAGCACCCCACUCAUAUAUACGAGAUACAAACAUUCAUUAACUUUGAGUUAAAAGACUCUAACAUCUACAAAUAAUUAAUUAAUUAUAGGAUAAACGAACUCACAUGGAAGGAAUAUAUAUAAUAGUGCAUUUGUAAAAGAGAUAAAACUUGACUAUUAAAUGAAAUUAGAAGUAGUUAAUUAUCCACUCACACCAUUUAUUUAUUUAUUUAUUAUAUAUAUAAUAAGAUAAUAGUUAACAUAAAGACACAUGACCUUUUAUACUCAUUCCAUAUGAUAUGAGUAUUUAUUUAGGUAUUUAUUAAGUGAAGGAGUCAUGCAUUAUUAAGGAGUGGAGAAAUAGAAAUGACCAAGCUUGACUAUAUCAUAACUGUUACUAAACUAAAUGUCCCCAGAAUUGAUGUUAAAACUACACCACCCACACCCUGAAUGAUGCUUCCAACAAGCAUGAGGGGAGCUUGAAGAAUUCCUGAGGUGGGCAACAAAGUACAAUUAACAAUUGGGAGAGCAGCCCUUGCAACACAUGAAAGAGUUGAAGUAUUUCCAAACAAAAUAUUUGUAUUGGUGCUCAAUGUAACAUUUAUUAAACCUUCAACAUUUGUGAUCACUUGAGCAAGGGUUGUGUUGCCACAAAUAAUGGCGACAUUUACUCCACCAAUUCCGGGGCCUGGGGCAUUUCCCGAUGUGGAGCAAGACACAACACCCCGUAUAGUUAUAUUAGCUGGUUGGCCAACAACGGGUGGCACAAUUGAUGGUACUUGACCAACAACGGGUGGUAUUAGCUGGCUAACAAUGCCUGGUAAUACUUCGUUAAGAAUGGAUGGCAAUAAUCUUCCAACAAUGUCUUGUAAUAAUCUUUCAACAAUGGGUGGUAAUAGUUGGUUAAGAAGGGGUGCUAAUUGGCCAACAAUGGGUGGUACUUGGCCAACAAUGGGUGGUACUAGACUAACAAUGGGUGGUACAAUGGGUGGUACUUGUCCAACAAUGGGUGGUAUAAAUUAUAAUGGGUGGUACUUGUCCAACAAUGGGUGGUACUUGACCAACUGGUAGUACAAUGGGUGGUACACGAAUAGGACCAAGUAAGGGACCAAGAAAGGGUCCUAAAAUUUGAGCAUGGGCUAGAGGAGUGGUGGUGAUGAUGGAAAGCAGAAUAAUGAGGAAAACAACACACAUUUUUGAAGACAUGAUUAUGAUGAUGAUUUGAUAAUACUGUUUUCUAUUCAAUAUCUCUUUUUAUAGUGCUACUUAUUAAUUUACUCCACUCCUACCUUACCCUGCGCCACCCCACCCCACCC